GUGCUGGAAUUCGCCCUUAGAGUUUGAUCCUGGCUCAGAUUGAACGCUGGCGGCAGGCCUAACACAUGCAAGUCGAGCGGUAACAGGGAUAGCUUGCUAUCUGCUGACGAGCGGCGGACGGGUGAGUAACGCGUAGGAAUCUACCUAGUAGUGGGGGAUAAGCCAGAGAAAUUUGGUCUAAUACCGCAUACGUCCUAAGGGAGAAAGGAGGGGAUCUUCGGACCUUUCGCUAUUAGAUGAGCCUGCGUAAGAUUAGCUAGUUGGUGAGGUAAGAGCUCACCAAGGCGACGAUCUUUAGCUGGUCUGAGAGGAUGAUCAGCCACACUGGGACUGAGACACGGCCCAGACUCCUACGGGAGGCAGCAGUGGGGAAUAUUGGACAAUGGGGGCAACCCUGAUCCAGCCAUGCCGCGUGUGUG
rnacentral:rRNA from 1 species